UACGUAGGUGACAAGCGUUGUCCGGAUUUACUGGGCGUAAAGAGCGCGCAGGCGGUCGAUCAAGUCGAGUGUGAAAGCCCCCGGCUCAACUGGGGAGGGUCAUUCGAUACUGAUCGACUCGAAGGCAGGAGAGGGUAGUGGAAUUCCCGGUGUAGUGGUGAAAUGCGUAGAUAUCGGAAGGAACAUCAGUGGCGAAGGCGGGUCUCUGGACAGUUCCUGACGCUGAGGCACGAAGGCCAGGGGAGCAAACGGG
rnacentral:rRNA from 1 species